rnacentral:misc_RNA from 1 species
UCCUAGUUAACCUAGGCAGUCUCAUUAGAGUUCCCACCUUAAAUGUUGGCAACUAAUGAUAAGGGUUGCGCUCGUUGCGGGACUUAACCCAACACCUCACGGCACGAGCUGACGACAGCCAUGCAGCACCUAUAUAGAAGUCCUUUCGGAAAAUACCAUUUCUGGUAUCGCCCUCUACAUUUCGAGCCUGGGUAAGGUUCUUCGCGUAGCAUCGAAUUAAACCACAUGCUCCACUGCUUGUGCGGGCCCCCGUCAAUUCUUUUGAGUUUCACCCUUGCGAGCGUACUCCUCAGGCGGUAUACUUAUCGCGUUAGCUUCGACACAGCCAGGGUUGAGCCCCAGCUCCAUCAAGUAUACAUCGUUUACGGCAAGGACUAC